rnacentral:rRNA from 1 species
GACGAACGCUGGCGGCGUGCUUAACACAUGCAAGUCGAGCGGUAAGGCCCUUUCGGGGGUACGACGAGCGGCGAACGGGUGAGUAACACGUGGGUGACCUCGCCCUCAGCUCUGGGAUAAGCCUGGGGAAACCGGGUCUAAUACUGGAUAUGACUCCAUGACGCAUGUUGUGGGGUGGAAAGCCUUGUGCGGCUGAGGAUGGGCCCGCGGCCUAUCAGCUUGUUGGUGGGGNGAUGGCCUACCAAGGCGAC